rnacentral:rRNA from 1 species
UGGUAUUGCGGCUGCCUUACCAUGCAGUCGACGGCAGCACGGGAGCAAUCCUGGUGGCGAGUGGCGAACGGGUGAGUAAUAUAUCGGAACGUGCCCAGUCGUGGGGGAUAACGCAGUGAAAGCUGUGCUAAUACCGCAUACGAUCUCUGGAUGAAAGCGGGGGACUCGGCAACGAGCCUCGCGCGAUUGGAGCGGCCGAUAUCAGAUUAGCUAGUUGGUGGGGUAAAAGCCCACCAAGGCGACGAUCUGUAGCUGGUCUGAGAGGACGACCAGCCACACUAGAACUGAGACACGGUCCAGACUCCUACGGGAGGCAGCAGUGGGGAAUUUUGGACAAUGGGCGCAAGCCUGAUCCAGCAAUGCCGCGUGCAGGAUGAAGGCCUUCGGGUUGUAAACUGCUUUUGUACGGAACGAAAAAGUCUGCCCUAAUACGGCGGGCCCAUGACGGUACCGUAAGAAUAAGCACCGGCUAACUACGUGCCAGCAGCCGCGGUAAUACGUAGGGUGCGAGCGUUAAUCGGAAUUACUGGGCGUAAAGCGUGCGCAGGCGGUUAUAUAAGACAGAUGUGAAAUCCCCGGGCUCAACCUGGGACCUGCAUUUGUGACUGUAUAGCUAGAGUACGGUAGAGGGGGGAUGGAAUUCCGCGUGUAGCAGUGAAAUGCGUAGAUAUGCGGAGGAACACCGAUGGCGAAGGCAAUCCCCUGGACCUGUACUGACGCUCAUGCACGAAAGCGUGGGGAGCAAACAGGAUUAGAUACCCUGGUAGUCCACGCCCUAAACGAUGUCAACUGGUUGUUGGGUCUUCACUGACUCAGUAACGAAGCUAACGCGUGAAGUUGACCGCCUGGGGAGUACGGCCGCAAGGUUGAAACU